UUGUCGUCAGCUCGUGUCGUGAGAUGUUGGGUUAAGUCCCGCAACGAGCGCAACCCUUGUCCUUAGUUGCCAGCAUUUGGUUGGGCACUCUAGGGAGACUGCCGUCGACAAGACGGAGGAAGGUGGGGAUGACGUCAAAUCAUCAUGCCCCUUAUG
rnacentral:rRNA from 1 species